UACAGAGGUGGCAAGCGUUGUUCGGAAUUACUGGGCGUAAAGGGCGCGUAGGCGGCCAUCUAAGUCAGACGUGAAAUCCCCCGGCUUAACCUGGGAACUGCGUCUGAUACUGGAAGGCUUGAGUAUGGGAGAGGGAUGUAGAAUUCCAGGUGUAGCGGUGAAAUGCGUAGAUAUCUGGAGGAACACCGGUGGCGAAGGCGGCAUCCUGGACCGGCAUUGACGCUGAGGCGCGAAAGCGUGGGGAGCAAACAGG
rnacentral:rRNA from 1 species